rnacentral:rRNA from 1 species
UACAGGGGGGGCAAGCGUUGUUCGGAAUUACUGGGCGUAAAGGGUUCGUAGGCGGCCAACUAAGUCACACGUGAAAUCCCCAGGCUUAACCUCGGAACUGCGUGUGAUACUGGAUGGCUUGAAUCCGGGAGAGGAAUGCGGAAUUCCAGGUGUAGCGGUGAAAUGCGUAGAUAUCUAGAGGAACACCGGUGGCGAAGGCGGCAUUCUGGACCGGCAUUGACGCUGAUGAACGAAAGCCAGGGGAGCAAACGGG